rnacentral:rRNA from 1 species
UGGAAGGUCCCUAAACCGAAAGGGGCUCUGCCCGCCCGAGGAUGGGCCGGCGGCCGAUUAGGUAGUUGGUGGGGUAACGGCCCACCAAGCCCAUAAUCGGUACGGGCAGUGAGAGCUGGAGCCCGGAGAUGGACACUGAGACACGGGUCCAGGCCCUACGGGGCGCAGCAGGCGCGAAACCUCCGCAAUGCUCGAAAGAGCGACGGGGGGACCCCAAGUGCCGUGGUACAACCACGGCUUUUCCGGAGUGUAAGAAGCUCCGGGAAUAAGGGCUGGGCAAGGCCGGUGGCAGCCGCCGCGGUAAUACCGGCGGCCCGAGUGGUGGCCACUAUUAUUGGGCCUAAAGCGUCCGUAGCCGGGCUUGUAAGUCCCUGGCGAAAUCCCACGGCUCAACCGUGGGGCUUGCUGGGGAUACUGCAAGCCUUGGGACCGGGAGAGGCCGGGGGUACUCCUGGGGUAGGGGUGAAAUCCUAUAAUCCCAGGAGGACCGCCAGUGGCGAAGGCGCCCGGCUGGAACGGGUCCGACGGUGAGGGACGAAGGCCAGGGGAGCAAACCGGAUUAGAUACCCGGGUAGUCCUGGCUGUAAAGGAUGCGGGCUAGGUGUUGCUUGGACCUCGAGUCCAAGCAGUGCCGCAGGGAAGCCGUUAAG